UACGUAGGUGGCAAGCGUUGUCCGGAUUUACUGGGCGUAAAGAGCGCGCAGGCGGUCGUAUAAGUCGAAUGUGAAAGCCCCCCGGCUCAACUGGGGAGGGUCAUUCGAUACUGUUCGACUCGAAGGCAGGAGAGGGGAAGUGGAAUUCCGGGUGUAGUGGUGAAAUGCGUAGAUAUCCGGAGGAACACCAGUGGCGAAGGCGACUUCUGGCCUGUUCUUGACGCUGAGG
rnacentral:rRNA from 1 species